CUUGAGGCUUCCGAGCCAGAGCGGAUGGUCGGGCGAGCGGUUCUCACCAUAGGUGGCGAGGAGCGCCUGAGCUUC
rnacentral:antisense_RNA from 1 species